ACUAAACCUGUAGUAGCGCUGUGUUUAACGUAUUUGGACGCGAGUUCAACUCUCGCCACCUCCACCA
rnacentral:tmRNA from 1 species